rnacentral:rRNA from 1 species
AGCUCCAAUAGCGUAUAUUAAAGUUGUUGCAGUUAAAAAGCUCGUAGUUGGAUUUGUGGCUGUCGCUAGCGGCCCAUCACUUAGUGUUGGUGUUUGCUGGCGUCGCCAUCCUUGGGUGGAGCCUGUGUGGCAUUAGGUUGUCGUGCAGGGGAUGCCCAUCGUUUACUGUGAGAAAAUUAGAGUGUUCAAAGCAGGCUUAUGCCGUUGAAUAUGUUAGCAUGGAAUAAUAAGAUAGGACCUCGGUACUAUUUUGUUGGUUUGCGCACCGAGGUAAUGAUUAACAGGGACAGUUGGGGGUAUUCGUAUUCCAUUGUCAGAGGUGAAAUUCUUGGAUUUCUGGAAGACGAACUACUGCGAAAGCAUUUACCAAGGAUGUUUUCAUUA